AGCGAACGCUGGCGGCAGGCCUAACACAUGCAAGUCGAACGAACCUUUCGGGGUUAGUGGCGGACGGGUGAGUAACACGUGGGAACGUGCCUUUAGGUUCGGAAUAACUCAGGGAAACUUGUGCUAAUACCGAAUGUGCCCUUCGGGGGAAAGAUUUAUCGCCUUUAGAGCGGCCCGCGUCUGAUUAGCUAGUUGGUUGAGGUAACGGCUCACCAAGGCGACGAUCAGUAGCUGGUCUGAGAGGAUGAUCAGCCACAUUGGGACUGAGACACGGCCCAAACUCCUACGGGAGGCAGCAGUGGGGAAUCUUGCGCAAUGGGCGAAAGCCUGACGCAGCCAUGCCGCGUGAAUGAUGAAGGUCUUAGGAUUGUAAAAUUCUUUCACCGGGGACGAUAAUGACGGUACCCGGAGAAGAAGCCCCGGCUAACUUCGUG
rnacentral:rRNA from 1 species